rnacentral:rRNA from 1 species
UACGUAGGGGUCGAGCGUUGUCCGGAGUUACUGGGCGUAAAGCGUGCGCAGGCGGCUCAUCGCGCUCGGCGUGAAAGCCCCCGGCUCAACCGGGGAGGGUCGUCGAGGACGGAUGGGCUUGAGGGUAUCAGGGGUUGGUGGAAUUCCCGGUGUAGUGGUGAAAUGCGUAGAUAUCGGGAGGAACACCAGUGGCGAAGGCGACUUCCUGGCCUGUUCUUGACGCUGAGGCGCGAAAGCUAGGGGAGCAAACGGG